CGGUUUCGUUUGGUGUUCUUCGGGGACACCUCCUCCCUUGUAUACUGUACCAAGUUGCUUCGGCGGGUCCGCCGUUCGCGCGGCCGCCGGGGGGGAACCCCUCCCCCCGGGCGAGCGCCCGCCGGAGACCCCAACGUGAACACUGUCUGAAGUUUUGUCGUCUGAGUUCGAUUGUAUCGCAAUCAGUUAAAACUUUCAACAAUGGAUCUCUUGGUUCCGGCAUCGAUGAAGAACGCAACGAAAUGCGAUAAUUAAUGUGAAUUGCAGAAUUCAGUGAAUCAUCGAGUCUUUGAACGCACAUUGCACCCCCUGGUAUUCCGGGGGGUAUGCCUGUCCGAGCGUCAUUGCUGCCCUCAAGCCCGGCUUGUGUGUUGGGUCCUCGUCCCCCCCGGGGGACGGGCCCGAAAGGCAGCGGCGGCACCGCGUCCGGUCCUCGAGCGUAUGGGGCUUUGUCACACCGCUCUCGUAGGCCCGGCCGGCGCUGGCCGACACUGAAAAGCAACCAUUAUUUCUCCAGGUUGACCUCGGAUCAUGUAGGGAUACCCGCUGAACUUAAGCAUAUCAAUAAGCGUAGGAA
rnacentral:rRNA from 1 species